GAUGAACGCUGGCGGCAUGCCUUACACAUGCAAGUCGAACGGCAGCACGGGUGCUUGCACCUGGUGGCGAGUGGCGAACGGGUGAGUAAUACAUCGGAACGUACCUUAUCGUGGGGGGUAACGCAGCGAAAGCUGUGCUAAUACCGCAUACGCCCUGAGGGGGAAAGCGGGGGAUCGAAAGACCUCGCGCGAUUAGAGCGGCCGAUGCCUGAUUAGCUUGUUGGUGGGGUAAAAGCCCACCAAGGCGACGAUCAGUAGCUGGUCCGAGAGGACGAUCAGCCACACUGGGACUGAGACACGGCCCAGACUCCUACGGGAGGAAGCAGUGGGGAAUUUUGGACAAUGGGGGCAACCCUGAUCCAGUAAUGCCGCGUGAGUGAAGAAGGCCUUCGGGUUGUAAAGCUCUUUUGUCAGGGAAGAAACACCGGCUCUAACACAGUCCGGGAAUGACGGUACCUGAAGAAUAAGCACCGGCUAACUACGUGCCAGCCGCCGCAGUAA
rnacentral:rRNA from 1 species